rnacentral:rRNA from 1 species
CCUACGGGAGGCAGCAGUGAGGAAUAUUGGUCAAUGGACGAGAGUCUGAACCAGCCAAGUAGCGUGAAGGAUGACUGCCCUAUGGGUUGUAAACUUCUUUUAUCUGGGAAUAAAAUGUUCCACGUGUGGGAUUUUGUAUGUACCAUAUGAAUAAGGAUCGGCUAACUCCGUGCCAGCCGCCGCGGUAAUACGGAGGAUCCGAGCGUUAUCCGGAUUUAGUGGGUUUAAAGGGAGCGUAGGUGGAUUGUUAAGUCAGUGGUGAAAGUGUGCGGCUCAACCGUAAAAUUGCAGUUGAAACUGGCAUGCUUGAGUACAGUAGAGGUGUGCGGAAUUCGUGGUGGAGCGGUGAAAUGCUUAGAUAUCACGAAGAACUCCGAUUGCGAAGGCAGCUCACUGGACUGCAACUGACACUGAGGCUCGAAAGUGUGGGUAUCAAACAGGAUUAGAUACCCUAGUAGUC